rnacentral:rRNA from 1 species
AUGGUGGAGAUCGACGAAGAGAAGAUGAGGAAGUUUGUAGGCCGAGACACGCGCAUGCAUGCUCGUUUGCGGGAGAUCGGCUCGUGGUACACAAGCAAAAGGGAGAUGCAUGCGGAGGCGGAGGCAAUCUUCGAGAGGUUGACGACGGCGGAGGAAAGGUCGCUGUUCAGAAGGGGUGGACGCAAGCACCCGCUCCAUGUGCUGCUUUGGGCGAUGGACCAGGCGGACCGGAAAGGGCCGUGGCGAGGAAGUGGGUGGAGUUCACUUCCUUCAAGACGGCGCACCUUGCUCCGGCCAUGA